AUAAAUUUUUGUGUGAAUUGUUUACGAGGAAAUUCCGACUGUUACUUUAACAAGCUGAACACUCUUGACUCUGGUUCGUGGUUCCCAGUGAUAAAUGUAUCGAGUGAUGAAAGAGUCGACGGUGACAUUUUAAAGUUUGAUUGGCGUGGACUAUCGGAAUGAAGAUGACUGCAGGAAUGGUUUGUUUGAUUAUUGGCCUAUCAAACAUUUUCCAGUCAUUUCAUGAUGCCACCACUUGGGAUAGUAAGCUGCAAAUAUAGACUUGUACUCAGCACGUAUUGCCUUUGAGAAGUGUGACUGUCAUCAGAGUACUGAAAUUUGAUUCCAAGCACGAUCAUGAUUUGCCAGAAGAGCAUCUGUUGGGGGAUGACAAGGAAUAAACAGCAUAAUGAAAU